rnacentral:misc_RNA from 1 species
GUGAAUCAUCGAAUUUUUGAACGCAAAUUGCACUCCCUGGUAUUCCGGAGAGUAUGCCUGUUUGAGGGUCAGUAUAAAUAAAAAUCGAGGUGUUGCUUAUGGUGACUCCAUCUUAAUUUGGUUAUCUUUAAUCUUAAUAAAUGUCUAAAGUGACCUAAAAUUGAUGACACCUGCUUCAUCUCAAGACUCACAUAAGCAUUUUUUUUUUCUCCGUCCGGAGUUUGCCAUC